AGCAGUCAAAAGAAAACAUUGAAUUGAAUCUUGCUGGUUUCCAGAAUUUAUCAGUAGUGGAAGCCAGCUGGUGGCAGUAGAAGAGACAAGAUAGAGGAUGCAAGAUGGCAGAAAAAAAAGCCUGAAUUCCAGAAGAUAAAGGUGCAUCAUAUUAGCAUCUUCCUGGAGUAGAAUGACAAGAGAAUCUUUUCAGCAGCUACCAUGUUGAGCCAAAUCUGUAUUACUUUUUCCCAUUAUGGAUGUCAUUCCUGAAGAGGAUACUGUACUGGAGCAAGCCAGAAAAUACUAAAAGGAAGUCUGUUGGGAGUGGGAAAAUGGAAUUGUCCACUAUAUAACAAAACCCAAUUCCAACAAACUUUUCUGCAUUCAAUCUGCUAUAAAAAGAACUAAUCAUCAAAAGGAAUGAAUAUAAAUGUCUCCAGGAACAUUAAUAAA